UUACAUUGCAAGCGUCUCUUUCUACACCAAAACACGUGGAAAAGUUAAAAAAAAGUAAUUUGGUUUUAGUCCCGAGAGCGAGAUGGUGAUGAGAGCGUUGGCGCAGUCGGAGCGGAACGGUGUGAGUGACUGGCAGUGUUUUUUCGUGAUUUUAGUGAACAUUCCUGAUCUGUGGAGGCUGCCGCGUCUCAGGGAAGGAGUGGCAGAGACAGUGACUCAGAAGACAUUUGGUUGCGUGCCAGCGUGCCCACCGCUGGCGUGACAGUGGAUGAGAAGUGGAGCGAGUCUUUGUGAAGGUGGAUUUACGGUGGAUCAAGCGGUAAGGUCACAUUGGUGCAGCGAGAACCACUGUAGCAGCAAUCACUGAGGCACCACUGCUAUAAGGAACUGACGCCGCUGUGACCAUGGGACGUGUCAUCAGCAGGAGUAAGUGGGAGAAAUAGCGCUUUUGUGUACUCGUAAUUCUCUCCCACCACAGCCUGCCCUCCCAAUCUCCCCAGUUCGUUACCUUCCAACUAUCCUUUCACUCCCUCCCUCCCUCUCUCAGUCCUUCACUUACUAACUCUCUUUCUCCCACUGUCCCUCAUUCAUACACUCCUUCACUCAGUCCUUC